GUGCUCGCUUUGGCAGCACGUAUACUAAAAUUGGAAUGAUACAGAGAAGAUUAGGAUGGCCCCUGCGCAAGGAUGACAUGGAAAUUUGUGAAGCGUUUCCUAUUUGA